AGUCUUNGAAUGUUAUACUAUCAUCGAGUCGCGACUUCUAGGAGACGCGGUUCUUUGAGACAAAAGUUAUUACAACUUUCAGCAACGGAUCUCUUGGCUCUCGCAUCGAUGAAGAACGCAGCGAAUCGCGAUAUGUAAUGUGAAUUGCAGAUCUACAGUGAAUCAUCGAAUCUUUGAACGCACCUUGCGCUCCUCGGUGUUCCGAGGAGCAUGCCUGUUCGAGUGUCAGUAAAUUCUCAACCCCUCUCGAUUUGUUUCGAGCGGGUGUUUGGAUAGUGGGGGCUGCCGGAGACCUGGAUUUAUUUCAGGACUCGGGCUCUCCUGAAAUGCAUCGGCUUGCGGUUGACUUUCGACUUUGCAUGACAAGGCCUUCGGCGUGAUAAUGAUCGUCGUUAGCUGAAGUGCAUGAAUGAACCGUCCUGCGCCUCUAAUACGUCGACGCUUUCCAGCGUCUUCCUUAUUGACGUUUGACCUCGAAUCAGGUAGGACUACCCGCUGAACUUAAGCAUAUCAAUAAGCGGAGGAAAAGAAACUAACAAGGAUUCCCCUAGUAACUGCGAGUGAACCGGGAAGAGCUCAAAUUUUGAAUC
rnacentral:rRNA from 1 species